CGGUGGCUCCACCGGUCCUUCUUCGCAGCUGGGGUUCCUUCUUUGGCUAAUUUGUACAUAAAAGGACGAUGAGCACAAUAAUCAAAAAAUCGCGUGAAACAGGAAACGAGAAGGAGCUCAGUUUUGGCCGCGACGGCCCAGCCGAGCUUUGCCCGCAAUUUUUGGCUCACCCGCCGUCCCUCUUGCUCCGAUUUUUCCACAUGGAUGCUCGAUUCCGAGCGGGUAUGGAAAAUUUUUACCUUUUUUGGCAGCCGGUGGUGACUCUAGUGCGGCGACGGUUGACGGUCGGCCACCUUCUCCAGUGCCUAGUUCUUCUUCUCCGGCAGGGCCUGGAGGCUAGGGUUUGGGCUCCCAUGCAACGUGAAGUAUUUAU
rnacentral:lncRNA from 1 species